UACGUCGGGGGCAAGCGUUGUCCGGAUUUAUUGGGCGUAAAGAGCGCGUAGGCGGUCCGGUAAGUCGGCUGUGAAAGUCAAGGGCUCAACCCUUGAAAGCCGGCCGAUACUGUCAGACUAGAGUCCGGAAGAGGAGAGUGGAAUUCCUGGUGUAGCGGUGAAAUGCGCAGAUAUCAGGAAGAACACCCGUGGCUAAGGCGGCUCUCUAGUACGGUACUGACGCUGAGACGCGAAAGCGUGGGGAGCGAACAGG
rnacentral:rRNA from 1 species